GAUGAACGCUGACAGAAUGCUUAACACAUGCAAGUCUUUGGCGAAUCUGUGCUUGCACAGCCUAGCCAAGGCGGACGGGUGAGUAACGCGUAAGGAACUUGCCCUGCAGUCAGGGAUAACAGACGGAAACGACUGAUAGACCCUGUUAAGUUAAGCGGGAUCCUGUUCAGCCCGUUUAAAAGUGAUGCUGCAGGAGAUCCUUGCGUCCUAGUAGCUUGGUGGUGGGGUAACGGCCCACCAAGGCGAUGAUAGGUAGCCGGACUGAGAGGGUGGACGGCCACAAGGGGAAUGAGAUACGGCCCUUACUCCUACGGGAGGCAGCAGUGGGGAAUAUUGGACAAUGGGGGCAACCCUGAUCCAGCAAUUCUGUGUGCACGAUGAAGGUUUUCGGAUUGUAAAGUGCUUUCAGAAGGGAAGAAAAAAAUGACGGUACCUGCAGAAGAAGCGACGGCUAAAUACGUG
rnacentral:rRNA from 1 species